rnacentral:rRNA from 2 species
GCUAUCACUUACAGAUGGACCCGCGGCGCAUUAGCUAGUUGGUGAGGUAACGGCUCACCAAGGCAACGAUGCGUAGCCGACCUGAGAGGGUGAUCGGCCACACUGGGACUGAGACACGGCCCAGACUCCUACGGGAGGCAGCAGUAGGGAAUCUUCCGCAAUGGACGAAAGUCUGACGGAGCAACGCCGCGUGAGUGAUGAAGGUUUUCGGAUCGUAAAGCUCUGUUGUUAGGGAAGAACAAGUGCCGUUCGAAUAGGGCGGCACCUUGACGGUACCUAACCAGAAAGCCACGGCUAACUACGUGCCAGCAGCCGCGGUAAUACGUAGGUGGCAAGCGUUGUCCGGAAUUAUUGGGCGUAAAGCGCGCGCAGGUGGUUCCUUAAGUCUGAUGUGAAAGCCCACGGCUCAACCGUGGAGGGUCAUUGGAAACUGGGGAACUUGAGUGCAGAAGAGGAAAGUGGAAUUCCAAGUGUAGCGGUGAAAUGCGUAGAUAUUUGGAGGAACACCAGUGGCGAAGGCGACUUUCUGGUCUGUAACUGACACUGAGGCGCGAAAGCGUGGGGAGCAAACAGGAUUAGA